UUGCCCUACGGGACGCAGCAGUGGGGAAUAUUGGGCAAUGGGCGCAAGCCUGACCCAGCAACGCCGCGUGAAGGAAGAAGGCUUUCGGGUUGUAAACUUCUUUUCUUAGGGACGAAGAAAGUGACGGUACCUAAGGAAUAAGCCACGGCUAACUACGUGCCAGCAGCCGCGGUAAUACGUAGGUGGCAAGCGUUAUCCGGAUUUACUGGGUGUAAAGGGCGUGUAGGCGGGACUGCAAGUCAGAUGUGAAAACCAUGGGCUCAACCUGUGGCCUGCCUUUGAAAC
rnacentral:rRNA from 1 species